GGCUAACUCCGUGCCAGCAGCCGCGGUAAUACGGAGGAUGCGAGCGUUAUCCGGAUUUAUUGGGUUUAAAGGGUGCGUAGGCGGCCUGUUAAGUCAGCGGUGAAAUCUAGGAGCUUAACUCCUAAAUUGCCAUUGAUACUGGCGGGCUUGAGUGUAGAUGAGGUAGGCGGAAUGCGUGGUGUAGCGGUGGAAUGCAUAGAUAUCACGCAGAACUCCGAUUGCGAAGGCAGCUUACUAAGGUACAACUGACGCUGAAGCACGAAAGCGUGGGUAUCAAACAGGAUUAGAUACCCUGGUAGUCCACGCAGUAAACGAUGAUAACUGGGCGUAUGCGAUAUACAGUAUGCUCCUAAGCGAAAGCGUUAAGUUAUCCACCUGGGGAGUACGCCGGCAACGGUGAAACUCAAAGGAAUUGACGGGGGCCCGCACAAGCGGAGGAACAUGUGGUUUAAUUCGAUGAUACGCGAGGAACCUUACCCGGGAUUGAAAUGUAGAUGACCGCUCCUGAAAGGGAGUUUUCCUUCGGGACAUCUAUGUAGGUGCUGCAUGGUUGUCGUCAGCUCGUGCCGUGAGGUGUCGGCUUAAGUGCCAUAACGAGCGCAACCCCUGUCUACGGUUGCCAUCAGGUAAUGCUGGGAACUCCGUAGAGACUGCCGUCGUAAGGCGUGAGGAAGGUGGGGAUGACGUCAAAUCAGCACGGCCCUUACAUCCGGGGCGACACACGUGUUACAAUGGUAAGGACAAAGGGCAGCUACCUGGCGACAGGAUGCGAAUCUCCAAACCCCAUCACAGUUCGGAUCGGAGUCUGCAACUCGACUCCGUGAAGCUGGAUUCGCUAGUAAUCGCGCAUCAGCCAUGGCGCGGUGAAUACGUUCCCGGGCCUUGUACACACCGCCCGUCAAGCCAUGGGAGUCUGGAGUACCUAAAGUCCGUAACCGCAAGGGUCGGCCUAGGGUAAUACAGGUGACUGGGGCUAAGUCGUAACAAGGUAGCCGUACCGGAAGGUGCGGCUG
rnacentral:rRNA from 1 species